rnacentral:rRNA from 1 species
AGUGAACGCUGGCGGCAUGCCUAACACAUGCAAGUCGAACGGCAGCACAGCAGUAGCAAUACUGUGGGUGGCGAGUGGCGGACGGGUGAGGAACACAUCGGAAUUUGCCCAGUCGUGGGGGAUAACGUAGGGAAACUUACGCUAAUACCGCAUACGACCUACGGGUGAAAGUGGGGGACCUUCGGGCCUCACGCGAUGAGAUGAGCCGAUGCCGGAUUAGCUAGUUGGCGGGGUAAAGGCCCACCAAGGCGACGAUCCGUAGCUGGUCUGAGAGGAUGAUCAGCCACACUGGAACUGAGACACGGUCCAGACUCCUACGGGAGGCAGCAGUGGGGAAUAUUGGACAAUGGGGGCAACCCUGAUCCAGCCAUG